CCUACGGGGGGCAGCAGUGAGGAAUAUUGGUCAAUGGACGCGAGCCUGAACCAGCCAAGUAGCGUGAAUGAUGACUGCCCUACGGGUUGUAAACUUCUUUUAUAAAGGAAUAAAGUGAGACACUUGUGCCUUUUUGUAUGUACUUUAUGAAUAAGGAUCGGCUAACUCCGUGCCAGCAGCCGCGGUAAUACUGAGGAUCUGAUCGUUAUCCGGAUUUCUCGGGUUUAAAGGGAGCGUAGAUGGGUGGUUAAGUCCGUUGUGAAAGUUUGCGGCUCAAACGUAAAAUUGCAAUUGAUAAUGGCAGUGUUGAGUACCGUUGAGGUAGGCGGAAAUCGCGGUG
rnacentral:rRNA from 1 species